UCUCCGUAGGUGAACCUGCGGAGGGAUCAUUACAGAGUUCAUGCCCUACCGGGUAGAUCUCCCACCCUAUGUUAUUAUUACUUUGUUGCUUUGGCGGGCCGUUAGGCUCCGGCCCGACUACCGGCCCCGGCUGGUAAGCGCCCGCCAGAGGACCCAAAACCCUGAACAUUAGUGUCGUCUGAGUACUAUACAAUAGUUAAAACUUUCAACAACGGAUCUCUUGGUUCUG
rnacentral:misc_RNA from 1 species